ensembl:lncRNA
CAGAGGAAUUUGUGAUAAUGGAGCCACAUGCCCAGGCUCAACCCAGGCCCAAGGAACUUGACCUGAAGCAGGAGGAUACUUGUCAUUGGACUUAAUGCCACCUAGCAAACCAAGAUGAUUUUGACCGGGAAGACUUAAUUGCAUCUCUGAAGACCACUUCCACUCCUACUAAGGUUACUUAAUAAGUGCUGAGUCUCGCACAGAAAUUCAACCUGCAUUCAACCCACCAUAGGGGACGCAAGACAGGAUUUCUCCAUAUAGCUCUGGAUGUCCUGGAACUCACUCUGUAAACUAAGCUGGCCUCAAACUCACAGUGUCUAUGAGUGCUGAGAUUCAAGGCAUGCACCACCACUGCCUG